rnacentral:tRNA from 1 species
UUUUAGGGAGACCUGUUUCAUGAUUGGUACAAGGAUGAAAAUCCUAGUCCGAAAGUGAAAGCAUCCCAAGGUCGUGCGAGGCAGUAGAAUUAAACUUUUAAACUAUUAACCGGUUCGGUGCAUGGGCUAUUAGCUCAGGUGGUUAGAGCGCACCCCUGAUAAGGGUGAGGUCCCUGGUUCGAGUCCAGGAUGGCCCAUCCUCUGCACCGAGAGUGAAAAGUCAAUUAGGAACUAAACCUUCAGCACCUUAUCCUGGUAACAAUCAAAACCUGAUUGAUAGCAAGAGAGAAUGCUGGGCGUCAAGUCCAGUCAUGUACCUUGAAAACUGCAUAGCAAAAAGAAGAGAAACUUGAGUAAAUUUCUAGUAGCAAGUACUUAUUUAUUAAGUACAGGCAGUUAGAGAAGCAAUCAAGCAAC